rnacentral:rRNA from 1 species
GACGAACGCUGGCGGCGUGCUUAACACAUGCAAGUCGAACGGAAAAGGCCGGCUUUUGUCGGGUGCACGAGUGGCGAACGGGUGAGUAGCGCGUGAGUAACCUGCCUGUGACUGGGGGAUAACUUCUGGAAACUGUGGCUAAUACCGGAUAAGAGUUCCUGCUGCAUGGUGGGGGUUGGAAAGGUUCGGCGGCUUGGGAUGGAGUCGCGGCUUAUUAGCAUGAGGGUGUCGUAGUGGUUUACCAUGGCUUUGACGGUGAGCCGGCCUGGGAGGGUGACAGGGCACAUUGGGCCUGGGGUGCGGCCCAGACUCCUACGGCGGGAAGCAGCGGGAAAUAUAGCACAAUGGGCGGAAGCCUGAUGGAGGAAUGCCGCGUGCGGGAUGACGGCCUUCGGGUUAUAAACAGCUUUAGCCUGUAACGUAGCGUGAGUGACGGUAAUGGGUAAAGAAGCAACGGCUAACUACGUG